AACGCACAUUGCGCCCAUUGGUAUUCCUUUGGGCAUGUCUGUUUGAGCGUCAUUACAACACCUCAGCGCACGCUGGUUUUGAGCUGUGAGGGCUUCAGAAAUGAACCCUCCCGCUUUAAAGUUGUAAGCUCUGCUGACUUCCAGCUGGACCUAAAACAUAGUAAACUUCUUGCUUGUUUAUGGGAAAAAUUGUGAAGUUCGGCCUGAACAACACCUAUAUUUCUAAGGUUUGACCUCAGAUCAGACAAGGAUACCCGCUGAACUUAA
rnacentral:misc_RNA from 1 species